UCUUCCAGAGUGAAACCAAACAAGGCAAUUUCAAUCCGGAAAGAAUUUUGCUGUGAAAGUGAAACAACAGCAAGGGAUGAAGUCAUCACUGGAUGCCAGCAACAAUUGCCUGUUAUGCUGCUCUGUGAAUCACCCUUCUGAACACAGCUCACACAAACCUGUAAUUUUCAUAUGCGGAAUGUCCAAUUUCAAUGCAGUGAUAAGUGAGAGGGAGGAGAGCACGUUGAGUUGAAUCACUCACAUACGUAAGUGUCAACAGGUACUGUCAAGCAACAAGAACAUGACUCAACUGUACAGCAGCCUUGUUUUUGAGGAAGGUCUUUCUCGUAGAAUACCCAGUACAGAAAACACCCAGCAGCCCUCCAGCUCACCACCACUUGGCACCAGUGACUCGGGCAAAGAGAGCAAACUGGUAGAGGGCAGCCAGGCUGGCCACAGAUCUGCUCAGAAGCCACCAUCUCACUGCUAAAAAUGCCAUCUGAGUCAGGGAAGGUGCAGAGAGGUGACAUGUGGCUCUGGGAUCCAUCUCACUAACUGCGGUGCCUGGUGAAGCUUUACCAGUCUUGGUGCCAGGGUGCACAUUUACCAACUCAACCCCUAAUGCCAUACUUUCUGUAGCCCCGUGACUUCACCAUGUGCAAUCACUCCUGUGACUGAGGAGUUGAGGGGUUGAGGUGGAGGAGAAUGUUGUGGGAGCAGGUUUGGGCAUGGUAAUGGUGGCUUCGUGCCACCAUAGUUCCAAGAUUGUGACACAGCAGCCACCAGUGGCCCAUGGAGCCUUUUCCCCUUGGCCAUUCAACAAAAUGGGUCAAGAAAGAAGUGGUGAGGAUUUGAAAGGGAAGCACUAACAAGGUGGAAAAGCCCUGUUGCCCUGUUCCCUCUGGGAGGAUGAGGCAACAGCCACAAAGGCUCCCACUGCUGUCUGUGUUUCUGUGAGAUGGACCUGAGCAGAAGAGCCUGUUGUGCUGCGACAUGCUGGAAACAGUACUGUGAAGAGGAAGGUGAUGGGGAGCUGCAAAAAUGCCUCCCUGGCAAUCAGAGUAACAAACAUGUUUUUCAUACGAUAGAACUACAGCCAGUAGCACUUCACAAAAUACUUUACAAAAUGAACCCAAGUUUAGAUUCUAAAAUUAGACAAAGAAUAAAGGAAAAAAAAGGGGGAGGGGGGGAGGAAAAAAAAACCAAAACCACUGGAGGGAACAAUGAACUCAUGUAGUUCUCCCAUUUCUCCAACAUUUUGUUUUUUCUAGUUUAGUAAAGCAAUAGUUUAUUUGCAAUAUUGUGCUGGUUUUCUAGGCAUCACAGCUAAGAAAGUCCAAAAGCUGCAGUACAAACAGGAAACACAGCAUUUGCGUUGGACUGAUGAGAAGCCCUACAAACAAAAAGCAACAGCAAUAACUGAGGGAUAGAGAGCAGCAGGGGGUGAAAUCCCUGUGCCAGAGAAAAGAAUAAGAUGCUAGUAUUAGGACAACACAAGGAAAUUUCAGCAUAGUCCACUGAGGAUUUGAAAGUUUUGGAAGUUUUCCCCAGAGAAGAAUCUGGAGCUUCAGAUCUGAAGUCCUACCAGAUUGCUGAGGUAUGAACCUGCCCUUCUGGAAAGAGAGCUCACUGGUUGCACCAGCUCUGGUCCUUUUCCAUCCAGACAUAAGCACACAAUGGGGAUUCUUUAUGUCUAUACACCAUGCUCUGGAGCUUCUUAUGGAGAAGUAAUUGCUGCGUUUCUCUAGCAGGACUCGGAGAGGUCCCUGGUGAGCACACCAGGAGCCCAAGGCUCCCUGCACCACAGAGCCUGGCUUCGAACUCCAGCAAACCUGGUGUGGAGACAGGGGCGACCACGAGCACCAUUCCUGAUGCUCCAGAGCAGGGAAGAAAGGAACCACCUCCUUCCAGCACCUGAAUAAAGAACUCAUAUUUGCUAUUGUUUUCCAGCUCUCCUCCACCAUUAGGAGGGACACCGCAUCAAUUAACUCUGAAGUAGUUCCCUGGGAGUGUUUUAACUACUGAGCAGAACUGUUGAUACAGAGAGCUUAACAACCACAUCUGCUUAGGUACCUCCAGAGCACAUUUAAGACUGAUUAAAGUCUAAGGAUCUAAGUUACUUUCCCUUCUGCGGCCCCUGUUUAUCCUCAGUAUCUUCAAACCCUCACAAAACAACGUUUAUCUUUACUGUAAUAAAACUGAGCUUAUUUUUAAUACGA